UUGCGCCCUGUGGUAUUCCGCAGGGCAUGCCUGUUCGAGCGUCAUUUCAACCCUCAAGUUCUGCUUGGUGUCGGGCCCUGCCCGCUCGCGGCCGGCCCCAAGCGUAGUAGGUCUCUCGCUCUAGCGUCCAGCGGUGGCCUGCCAGAAUCCCCAACUCUGUGGUUGACCUCAGAUCUGGUAGGGAUACCCGGCGAACUUAA
rnacentral:misc_RNA from 1 species